UGACCUCAAAUCGGGUGAGACUA
rnacentral:rRNA from 1 species